rnacentral:rRNA from 1 species
AGUGAACGCUGGCGGUAGGCCUAACACAUGCAAGUCGAACGGCAGCACAGUAAGAGCUUGCUCUUACGGGUGGCGAGUGGCGGACGGGUGAGGAAUACAUCGGAAUCUACUUUUUCGUGGGGGAUAACGUAGGGAAACUUACGCUAAUACCGCAUACGACCUACGGGUGAAAGCAGGGGAUCUUCGGACCUUGCGCGAUUGAAUGAGCCGAUGUCGGAUUAGCUAGUUGGCGGGGUAAAGGCCCACCAUGGCGACGAUCCGUAGCUGGUCUGAGAGGAUGAUCAGGCACACUGGAACUGAGACACGGUACAGACUCCUACGGGAGGCAGCAGUGGGGAAUAUUGGACAAUGGGCGCAAGCCUGAUCCAGCCAUACCGCGUGGGUGCAGAAGGCCUUCGGGUUGUAAAGCCCUUUUGUUGGGAAAGAAAAGCAGCAGGUUAAUCCCCCGCUGUUCUGACGGUACCCAAAGAAUAAGCACCGGCUAACUUCGUG